UUCCAGACUCCUACGGGAGGCAGCAGUGGGGGAUAUUGCACAAUGGGGGGAACCCUGAUGCAGCGACGCCGCGUGAACGAAGAAAUAUUUCGGUAUGUAAAGUUCUAUCAGCAGGGAAGAAAAUGACAGUACCUGACCAAGAAGCCCCGGCUAACUACGUGCCAGCAGCCGCGGUAAUACGUAGGGGGCGAGCGUUAUCCGGAUUCACUGGGCGUAAAGGGAGCGCAGGCGGCACGGCAAGCCUGAUGUGAAAGCCCGCGGCCCAACCGCGGGACUGCAUUGGGAACUACCGGGCUGGAGUGCCGGAGAGGUAGGCGGAAUUCCUAGUGUAGCGGUGAAAUGCGUAGAUAUUAGGAGGAACACCAGUGGCGAAGGCGGCCUACUGGACGGUGACUGACGCUGAGGCUCGAAAGCGUGGGGAGCAAACAGGAUUAGAUACCCUGGUAC
rnacentral:rRNA from 1 species